rnacentral:rRNA from 1 species
AGAGUUUGAUCAUGGCUCAGAACGAACGCUGGCGGCAGGCCUAACACAUGCAAGUCGAGCGAACCUUCGGGUUAGCGGCGGACGGGUGAGUAACGCGUGGGAAUAUGCCCUUCACUAAGGAAUAGCCACUGGAAACGGUGAGUAAUACCUUAUACGCCCUUCGGGGGAAAGAUUUAUCGGUGAAGGAUUAGCCCGCGUUGGAUUAGGUAGUUAGUGGGGUAAUGGCCUACCAAGCCGACGAUCCAUAGCUGGUUUGAGAGGAUGAUCAGCCACACUGGGACUGAGACACGGCACAGACUCCUACGGGAGGCAGCAGUGGGGAAUCUUAGACAAUGGGGGAAACCCUGAUCUAGCCAUGCCGCGUGAGUGAUGAAGGCCCUAGGGUCGUAAAGCUCUUUCAGCUGUGAAGAUAAUGACGGUAGCAGCAG